rnacentral:rRNA from 1 species
GACAGAGGGUGCAAACGUUGUUCGGAAUUACUGGGCGUAAAGCGCGUGUAGGCGGCAGGGCAUGUCGGAUGUGAAAUCCCGUGGCUCAACCACGGAAGUGCACCCGAAACUGCCCAGCUCGAGUCUCGGAGAGGAAGGCGGAAUGCUUGGUGUAGAGGUGAAAUUCGUAGAUAUUCGCAAGAACACCAGUGGCGAAGGCGGCUCACUGGUCCGGUACUGACGCUGAGGUGCGAAAGCGUGGGAGCAACAGG